rnacentral:rRNA from 1 species
GAGUCUUUGAACGCAAGUUGCGCCCGAAGCCAUUAGGCCGAGGGCACGUCUGCCUGGGCGUCACGCAUCGCGUCGCCCCCGCACGCCCCGCCCGCAUUUGCGGGCGCGGCGGUGUCGCGGGGCGGAUACUGGCCUCCCGUGCUCCCCGAGCGUGCGGCUGG